CCUGUGCAUCGCUCCACCGCUCCCGGUCGCAAGGCCGGGGGAGGAAAGUCCGGGCAGCGUAGGGCACCAUGCUUCCUAACGGGAAGGGGCCGCACUGGGAACGGUGCGGCCACGGAAAGUGCCGCAGAAAGGGAGACCGCCGAACCGCAGCGAUGCGGUGGCAAGGGUGAAAAGGUGAGGUAAGAGCUCACCAGUGCCGGUGGCGACAUCGGCAGCUUGGUAAACCCCAUGGGCUGCAAGACCAAAUAGGCCGGGAGGUCGGCGUGCCGCAAGGUGCGUUGGCAAAGGGUGGUCCGCCCUUUCCCGGCGGGUAGGUCGCUCGAGCCUGUCGGCGACGGCAGGUCCAGAUAGAUGGUGGAGACCCCGCAAGGGGGACAGGACCCGGCUUACAGAUGCACAGGACCU
rnacentral:RNase_P_RNA from 1 species